UUUGCAUUUGUUUGUAUAAUUAAUAUUUUAUAUUAUAGGGAGGGGCUGUAGCAGGAAACGUGGCUCAUAUUCUGGAUUCAAAUCAUGGAAAGAAGGCGUUACUAUACACUGCCAUGAAUCAGUUGGCAGUGGGAAGCACUUCGGCCGAAAAU